AGGCGUAUGAGUACAAAAGCCUAUUGUAGGUUGGUACAAUAGAAUUUAAUAGAUAAAAUUGUACAUUUUACAUAUAAUCUGUAAAUGUGUAAAAGAAGUAAACUAUGUAUUAUUAGCUCUAGGCAAUAAAGAAGUGUGUAUAAACUAAAAGCUCCCUGGACACCCAUUAUAAUUUCUCAAAAUAAACUUUUAUAAAAUAUCUUCUGGAAUUCUAAAACGUGGUUAGACAAGAACUACUGCAGUCUAUUUAUUCAUGAUUAAUGUUAGAACGAUCGGGAGGGGUUGGGGGGACAUUUUUUCAGGCUAUACACGGAAUAAGAUUGAGACUUAAGUCGAAAAAAGGCUUGUUAUAAUUUUAAAACCUACCUUUGUUGAAGAUUUCUUUUCUAGAUAAAAAUGAUCUUUGCAAGACACCAGAGCUAAGAAAAAACAUAGAACGGAAGAUUAUGAGAAUGGUUUCCAGGAAGAUGAAAAUACUCUAGAACUAUCAGAACAACUAUAAAACAAAACAAUGAGAUUUGUCUAAUCCAGUAUGUAGUUCAGGGGAUGGGAUUCACGAGGAGGUUUGCCAGCAGGGCAGACAGUGAUAAUCACAUUGCAGGCACCGAGGUGGAGGGGGUAGAGGAGGUUCCAACCCUGUCCGCCAGGAUAGAAGAGAAACAGAAGAAAAUAGAUUCUAGAUCUUCCAGACCUUACAACAACAGCAAGGUUUAUCCUAAAUCAGGCGAUUCAGAAACAGGUAGAGAAGAGUUAGAACGACAGAAAACUCUACACACAAAAAUAUGUUUGUUUCUCUGUACAGUGCUUCCCUUUGUAACUUUAGUUGCCACCCUUCACCGCCUCUGGUUUAUGGGUAUAAUCAACUUCGUAGAAAUGGAGGAUUGCCCUGACGAAUGGUUGGUAUGGGAAGGAAACUGUUACUUCUUUAUGCCCCAACCCCAGACAUGGCAGGAAGCCGUAGAUACAUGCUCCAGACUUGAAUCUUCUCUCCUGGUUGAUAUAUCCUCUGACGAUGAAAGUAUGUUCCUGGAGAAGAUAACUCUCUCCGGUAUCUGGACUGCAGGCAAACUGAACAGACAGGGUUGGGAAUGGGAACCGAUGGGUUGGAGUAUACAGAAGGAUAAAAUUAAACAAGAUAAACAAAAGAUUAAGAAGAAGAAGAGGGAUAGAACAAUCACAGUUUUGGAUGGAGCUGGAAGAACACUGGGAGGUGGAGAAGCGAGGCUUGUUAGAAGAGUAGAUGGUGGAAUAGAUGGUGAUAUAGAUGUACCAGUAGAUGGGGGAGUGUAUGAUAAAGUAGAUGGUGGAAUAGAUGGUGGAAUAAAUGGUAAUAUAGAUGUACCAGUAGAUGGUGGAGUAUAUAAUAAAGUAGAUGGUGGAAUAGGUGGUGGAGUAGAUGGUAGAGUAGAUAUUGGAGUAGAUGUUUUAGUAGAUGGUGUAGUAGAUGAUGGAGUAGAUGGUGGAGUAGAUGGUGGAAUAGAUGGUGGAUUAGAUGGUGGAGUAGAUGUUGGAGUAGAUGGUGAAGUAGAUGUUGGAGUAGAUGGUGUAGUAGAUGGUGGAGAAGAUGUUGGAGUAGAUGGUGGAGUAGAUGGUGGAGUAGAUGGCCAAGGAAAGUAUACUGGUGAUAUACCUCGUGAUAAACCUUCACUGUAUCGUGCAGAAGAAUUAGCCUUAGAAAAUUUCUCCGACAGUUCCAUAUCUUCUCCGUACUCUACACUGAACCCGGAGAAAUCCGAACCUGAACCUAGACAAUUUAAUAAUAGUCUCUUAUAUCUCAACCUUUACUCGGAGAACAGUGGUAAACCAAAAGUUCUAGGAUCCACUUCUCAUGUUUCUGAGUCCAAAACUAGAAGUGUAUUAGAACUAAUUGAUGAUUCUUAUAAUUUUCCUAAAACAACCAUAUCUCCGAGAAGAAAAGAAUUAACUAAAACUCCGGAGAUUUCUCCUGGAAAACAUUCUUCUCUUAGUACUAGUUCAUAUCCUCGUUCUCAUCCUACACCUCUCACAUCAAUACUCAGACAUUUGAGUCCAGAAGUAGAGUCUUGUUUACUGUUCCGUGGGGGAAUCUGGAUCAAAGACGACUGCUCCGCCAAAAGAGGUUUUGUGUGUAAACUGUCUCCAGGAGGACGAGUGAAGAAAGAAAAGGUUUCCUGCAGGAACAAACAAGAAGUAAAUCUGUACAAUAGUAAUCUUUAUUAUAUAUGCAAAGACGACAAAUAAUUCAUUCAAAUUUAGCGCGUUAACGAAAAAUAUUCUGCGGUCUGAACUUUUUAUUUUCUUGCUUUAGAUUAAUCAAACCUUCUGAGAUAUCCAUAAAACUAUUAACUUAAUCCGUUCAACCACAGGGUUAUCCACAACAGAUGAGCUUGUAAAGACGACUUGAAUCUCUUUAAAUAUGACGAUUCUGACUUCUGAGGCUAAGUUAAGUCUUCUUCCGAUAAUCUGUUUAAUAAUUAGACAAAGAAAUAAUAAUCAUGAAGGUAAAACAACAGACAGUUUAAAUUCUGUACAGUCGGCUCUAAACAGACAGUUUAAAUUCUGUACAGUCGUCUCUAAAGUUUCAUUCUUAGUGGGUCAACCUGUCCAAGGCAGGUAUUUACGCAGUCUGACGGGAUUAACAAUACAAAAGCUCAAAUCUCUGCAGCAUAGUUUCCUAUGAUUUUAUUGCUGUAUUCAUUGUAAAAUUAAACUGCCCACCAUAUUGUUCCAUUUCCCAUAAGUUAGGUUUCCAUAAUUUUACAUUGUAUAAGAAAAGGAAUUAGGUGUUUUGAGGUGCCGCGGCUAAAACCUGCAUCAUAUAUCUGAAAAUCGGAUACACAUUUUUUACGAAAUCAUUAAAUUAAAGAUGAUAUUGGUUAUGCAGCUGUAAAUAUGUAUAAAGAUGAUUGUUAAUGUAUUUACUUUAAUAUUACACAAAGACGACUGCACACAUGGAUAUUUUAAAAUCCAAGUUGUAGAAAAAACUGAUUCAGAACGAUUACCGGUUGCCCCAAACUAUAAUUUUCUGAACUCUAUAACCUUUUACAUUGUAUUUUUAAACCUUGGAAUGAAAAACUUGGAAUAUUGGAUCUAACAGAUUUCUUAGUUUCAAAUAUCAAAGUUCUACUAAAUCACAUGGAAAAAAGUAUAAGGUUUAGAAAAAUAGAAAAUAUGCCGAGUAAUAAGUUUCUUAACUUAAUGAAAAAGUCAUUAAUAUGUUCAAUAAUUAAUGAGUCUUCUAUAAAGCACGCAAUACAAUUUUGGCAAGUGUAGUGUUUAAAUCUGAAUAAUUUACGAUCAUCACAUUGCAUUAAUGGAUAUUAAUAAGCUUGUAAACUAUAAAUGCAAAAAACAGAAAUUUUUGGUGUGAGUAAUCAAUUUUCAUGUAUAGUAGUAGUGCUAACAUGGUUAAACUGAACUAUUUUAUGAUAGUUCUCCAUAGUAAAUCUCCUGAUUUUAAGCUGCUUAGAAUUUAUCUCCAUUUAUAUGGGAACUAAAUAGAAUAGAGCAAACUGAUUGAAAAUAUGCCCUUUCUGCUUUUUUAUCCUGAUUAGAUCAUUUCGAUAAUUUUGUAAACAAUUUAACAAUGCUGGUGUAAUAUCAAUUUUAUAAAUCGUUAAAUAAAUCUGAAUUAAUUCCA
rnacentral:misc_RNA from 1 species